rnacentral:rRNA from 1 species
CUACAAUGGCGUAAACAAAGGGAAGCGAAGGCGUGAGCGUAAGCAAAACCCAAAAAUAACGUCCCAGUUCGGAUUGUAGUCUGCAACCCGACUACAUGAAGCUGGAAUCGCUAGUAAUCGCGGAUCAGAAUGCCGCGGUGAAUACGUUCCCGGGUCUUGUACACACCGCCCGUCACACCAUGGGAGUCGGAAAUGCCCGAAGUCGGUGACCGAACCGAAAGGAAGGAGCCGCCGAAGGCAGGUCUGGUGACUGGGGUGAAGUCGUAACAAGGUAAC